AGUGAACGCUGGCGGUAGGCCUAACACAUGCAAGUCGAACGGCAGCACAGGAGAGCUUGCUCUCUGGGUGGCGAGUGGCGGACGGGGGAGGAAUACAUCGGAAUCUACUCUGUCGUGGGGGAUAGCGUAGGGAAACUUACGCUAAUACCGCAUACGACCUACGGGUGAAAGCAGGGGACCUUCGGGCCUUGCGCGAUUGAAUGAGCCGAUGUCGGAUUAGCUAGUUGGCGGGGUAAAGGCCCACCAAGGCGACGAUCCGUAGCUGGUCUGAGAGGAUGAUCGGCCACACUGGAACUGAGACACGGUCCAGACUCCUACGGGAGGCAGCAGUGGGGAAUAUUGGACAAUGGGCGCAAGCCUGAUCCAGCCAUACCGCGUGGGUGAAGAAGGCCUUCGGGUUGUAAAGCCCUUUUGUUGGAAAGAAAUCCAGCUGGCUAAUACCCGGUUGGGAUGACGGUACCCAAAGAAUAAGCACCGGCUAACUUCGUGCCAGCAGCCGCCGUAA
rnacentral:rRNA from 1 species